GUACUGUCUCGGAGAGAGACUCGGCGAAAUAGACUUGUCUGUGAAGAUGCGGACUACCUGCACCUGGACAGAAAGACCCUAUGAAGCUUUACUGUAACUUGAAAUUGAAAUUGGACUUUAUUUGCGCAGCAUAGGUGGGAGGCGUUGAAGAUCUUCUUGCGGGAAAAUCAGAGCCAUCAGUGAGAUACCACUCUUGUAAUGUUAGAUUUCUAACUUUGGAUCAUUAUCUGGUCAAAGAACAGUUUCAGGCGGGCAGUUUGACUGGGGCGGUCGCCUCCUAAAAGGUAACGGAGGCGCCCAAAGGUUCCCUCAGAAUGGUUGGAAAUCAUUCGCAGAGUGUAAAGGUAUAAGGGAGCUUGACUGCGAGAGCUACAACUCGAGCAGGGACGAAAGUCGGGCUUAGUGAUCCGGUGGUUCCGCAUGGAAGGGCCAUCGCUCAACGGAUAAAAGGUACUCUGGGGAUAACAGGCUGAUACCGCCCAAGAGUUCAUAUCGACGGCGGUGUUUGGCACCUCGAUGUCGGCUCAUCUCAUCCUGGGGCUGAAGCAGGUCCCAAGGGUAUGGCUGUUCGCCAUUUAAAGAGGUACGCGAGCUGGGUUUAGAACGUCGUGAGACAGUUCGGUCCCUAUCUGCCAUGGGCGUUGGAAGUUUGAGAGGGGCUGCUCCUAGUACGAGAGGACCGGAGUGGACGAACCUCUGGUGUUCCGGUUGUCACGCCAGUGGCAUUGCCGGGUAGCUAUGUUCGGAAGAGAUAACCGCUGAAAGCAUCUAAGCGGGAAGCGCGCCUCAAGAUGAGACUUCCCGGGGCACAAGCCCCCUAAAGGAACCAUAUAGACUAUGUGGUUGAUAGGUCAGGUGUGUAAGUACAGCAAUGUAUUGAGCUAACUGAUACUAAUGAUCCGUGC
rnacentral:rRNA from 14 species